rnacentral:tRNA from 1 species
GAGCCCGAGGCUCAAUGGUAGAGCGUUUGACUCAAAUACCAAAUUUCGCGGGUUCGAAUCCCAGGUUUG